rnacentral:lncRNA from 1 species
GGCAGGAAAACGCUGAACUAAACACUGAAAUGGAAAAUAACUCAUGAUUGUCUUCCAAACCCAAGAUUUCACUGUCAUUAACACCUGCUCCAAACAUUAAAAGGUGGCUCUGCAGCAGCUGUGGCUCUUGGUGGCUGAUCUUCUUCCUGCCUAAGGCAGUGCUCCCCAGGAAUAGAGGAGGGUGAUGCACAGCCCCCAGAGAGGAACCUCUGGGGACAUGUUUAGGAAUCAGUGUCCUUAUAGCAUUGCAUCCAAUUCCAUCCUGCAUGUUUAAAUAAAGUCAGGUGCUGCUGAAGACUCUCCAGAGGCCUCUCUGCUGUGGGACUUGUAAUCAUGCCUCAACUAAAUAUAGUGGAGAAAUCCUCCCAGUUUCAGGUUGAUGUGAAAUAAAG